rnacentral:rRNA from 1 species
UACGGGGGGGGUAAGCGUUGUUCGGAUUUACUGGGCGUAAAGCGCACGUAGGCGGAUCGUUAAGUCGGGGGUGAAAUCCUGGAGCUCAACUCCAGAACUGCCUUCGAUACUGGCGAUCUUGAGUCCGGAAGAGGUGAGUGGAACUCCUAGUGUAGAGGUGGAAUUCGUAGAUAUUGGGAAGAACACCGGUGGCGAAGGCGAUCAUCUGGACCACAACUGACGCUGAGGCGCGAAAGCGUGGGGAGCAAACAGG